rnacentral:lncRNA from 10 species
AAAAAAAAAAAAACUUGAUCCAGAACUCAAUGUUGGGUCUGAGUGUGGCUUUUCUGUCUCUCUUUCAUGAUGUUGUCUCUCUCGGCAAGCUCAUUCUUUUGGAGGAAAGAGAGCUACCACUCGUGCCAGGAUGGUUUCCAUUAAUUCAUGUAACAUUUAUUGAGUGCCAAUUACGUGGCAGGCUCUAUUCUAGACUCUGGGGACGGAGCCUAGACUGUUUAAGGUCUGAAGAGCCUUUGCCUCGGAGCUCACAUUCUGAUGGAAGGAGGUAGACCAUGAUGCAUCCACACAGAAAGUCUGGAGUGGGGGCCCUCUGCACCCACCAACAUCUUUGUCUCCUGAAAAAUGGCCUUUGUCAGUUAUUUUUAAAAACUGGUGCUAAUCCUGAGACACGGAGAUACUCCCGGGAAGCCAUCCGAGCCUGGACACACUGAGAUGAAACCACAAACACGCCGAGAGGAAAAGACAUUGAUUCCAGCCCUCAAAGCAACGGGACAAAAAACAAACAGGAGGCUUCCCUCCCGCCCCAGGGGCAGCGGCCGGUGUCUGCGGCUCUGCGGGAAGGGCUCUCACUGUGACCAGAUUGUGGCUUCUGAUUGUAUUGUAGAAUUUCUGGCCCAGCUUUUAAGGUUCAAGGCUUCCUCCCUUUGCUUUUAUCUUAUUUUCUUGUUUAAUAAAGAUACGCCUGUGUGAGAA